rnacentral:rRNA from 1 species
AACGACCGCUGGCGGCAUGCCUAAUACAUGCAAGUCGAACGAGAUCUUCGGAUCUAGUGGCGCACGGGUGCGUAACGCGUGGGAAUCUGCCCUUGGGUUCGGAAUAACUUCUGGAAACGGAAGCUAAUACCGGAUGAUGACGUAAGUCCAAAGAUUUAUCGCCCAAGGAUGAGCCCGCGUAGGAUUAGCUAGUUGGUGGGGUAAAGGCUCACCAAGGCGACGAUCCUUAGCUGGUCUGAGAGGAUGAUCAGCCACACCGGGACUGAGACACGGCCCAGACUCCUACGGGAGGCAGCAGUAGGGAAUAUUGGACAAUGGGCGAAAGCCUGAUCCAGCAAUGCCGCGUGAGUGAUGAAGGCCUUAGGGUUGUAAAGCUCUUUUACCCGGGAUGAUAAUGACAGUACCGGGAGAAUAAGCUCCGGCUAACUCCGUGCCAGCAGCCGCGGUAAUACGGAGGGAGCUAGCGUUGUUCGGAAUUACUGGGCGUAAAGCGCACGUAGGCGGCUAUUCAAGUCAGAGGUGAAAGCCCGGGGCUCAACCCCGGAACUGCCUUUGAAACUAGAUAGCUUGAAUCCAGGAGAGGUGAGUGGAAUUCCGAGUGUAGAGGUGAAAUUCGUAGAUAUUCGGAAGAACACCAGUGGCGAAGGCGGCUCACUGGACUGGUAUUGACGCUGAGGUGCGAAAG